rnacentral:rRNA from 1 species
GUUGUAUGGUUAAGUGACUAAGCGUACACGGUGGAUGCCUUGGCAGUCAGAGGCGAUGAAAGACGUAGUAACUUGCGAUAAGCCCAGAUUAGGUAGUAACAACCAUUUGAGUCUGGGAUUUCUGAAUGGGGAAACCCACGUGCAUAAGCACGUAUCCUUACCUGAAUACAUAGGGUAAGGAGGCGAACCGGGGGAACUGAAACAUCUAAGUACCCCGAGGAAAAGAAAUCAACCGAGAUUCCGAAAGUAGCGGCGAGCGAAAUUGGACUAGCCCUUAAGCUUUACACGCGUGAGACGAACGGUCUGGAAAGUCCGACGAUACAGGGUGAUAGUCCCGUAGUUGACGACGUGUGUUCAGUGAAAUCGAGUAGGGCGGGACACGUGAUAUCCUGUCUGAAUAUGGGGGGACCAUCCUCCAAGGCUAAAUACUACUGACUGACCGAUAGUGAACCAGUACCGUGAGGGAAAGGCGAAAAGAACCCCUGUGAGGGGAGUGAAAUAGAACCUGAAACCGUGUACGUACAAGCAGUAGGAGCAGGCUUGUCCUGUGACUGCGUACCUUUUGUAUAAUGGGUCAGCGACUUAUAUUCAGUGGCAAGGUUAACCAUCUAGGGGAGCCGUAGGGAAACCGAGUCUUAACUGGGCGUUCAGUCUCUGGAUAUAGACCCGAAACCAGGUGAUCUAGCCAUGGGCAGGUUGAAGGUUGAGUAACAUCAACUGGAGGACCGAACCGACUAAUGUUGAAAAAUUAGCGGAUGACUUGUGGCUAGGGGUGAAAGGCCAAUCAAACCUGGAGAUAGCUGGUUCUCCCCGAAAGCUAUUUAGGUAGCGCCUCGGACGAAUACUACUGGGGGUAGAGCACUGUUAAGGCUAGGGGGUCAUCCCGACUUACCAACCCUUUGCAAACUCCGAAUACCAGUAAGUACUAUCCGGGAGACACACGGCGGGUGCUAACGUCCGUCGUGGAGAGGGAAACAACCCAGACCGCCAGCUAAGGUCCCAAAUUACUACUAAGUGGGAAACGAUGUGGGAAGGCUCAGACAGCCAGGAUGUUGGCUUAGAAGCAGCCAUCAUUUAAAGAAAGCGUAAUAGCUCACUGGUCGAGUCGGCCUGCGCGGAAGAUGUAACGGGGCUAAGUAGUAAACCGAAGCUGCGGCAAUGUGCUUUUGCACAUUGGGUAGGGGAGCGUUCUGUAAGCGGUUGAAGGUGUGUGGUAACGCAUGCUGGACGUAUCAGAAGUGCGAAUGCUGACAUGAGUAACGAUAAAGGGGGUGAAAAACCUCCUCGCCGGAAGACCAAGGGUUCCUGUCCAACGUUAAUCGGGGCAGGGUAAGUCGACCCCUAAGGCGAGGCCGAAAGGCGUAGUCGAUGGGAAACGGGUUAAUAUUCCCGUACUUCUUACAAUUGCGAUGGGGGGACGGAGAAGGCUAGGUGGGCCUGGCGACGGUUGUCCAGGUUCAAGUGCGUAGGCUUAAGAGUUAGGUAAAUCCGGCUCUUUCUAAGGCUGAGACACGACGUCGAGCACCUACGGGUGUGAAGUCAUUGAUGCCAUGCUUCCAGGAAAAGCCUCUAAGCUUCAGAUUGUAAGGAAUCGUACCCCAAACCGACACAGGUGGUCGGGUAGAGAAUACCAAGGCGCUUGAGAGAACUCGGGUGAAGGAACUAGGCAAAAUGGUACCGUAACUUCGGGAGAAGGUACGCUCUCGACGGUGAAGUCCCUCGCGGAUGGAGCUAUUGAGAGUCGCAGAUACCAGGUGGCUGCAACUGUUUAUUAAAAACACAGCACUGUGCAAAAUCGUAAGAUGACGUAUACGGUGUGACGCCUGCCCGGUGCCGGAAGGUUAAUUGAUGGGGUUAGACUUCGGUCGAAGCUCUUGAUCGAAGCCCCGGUAAACGGCGGCCGUAACUAUAACGGUCCUAAGGUAGCGAAAUUCCUUGUCGGGUAAGUUCCGACCUGCACGAAUGGCGUAAUGAUGGCCACGCUGUCUCCACCCGAGACUCAGUGAAAUUGAAAUCGCUGUGAAGAUGCAGUGUACCCGCGGCUAGACGGAAAGACCCCGUGAACCUUUACUACAGCUUGGCACUGAACAUUGACCCUACAUGUGUAGGAUAGGUGGGAGGCUUUGAAGCACGUACGCCAGUAUGUGUGGAGCCGUCCUUGAAAUACCACCCUUGUAGUGUUGAUGUUCUAACGUCGACCCCUAAUCGGGGUUGCGGACAGUGCCUGGUGGGUAGUUUGACUGGGGCGGUCUCCUCCCAAAGAGUAACGGAGGAGCACGAAGGUGGGCUAAUCACGGUUGGACAUCGUGAGGUUAGUGCAAUGGCAUAAGCCCGCUUGACUGCGAGAAUGACAAUUCGAGCAGGUGCGAAAGCAGGUCAUAGUGAUCCGGUGGUUCUGAAUGGAAGGGCCAUCGCUCAACGGAUAAAAGGUACUCCGGGGAUAACAGGCUGAUACCGCCCAAGAGUUCAUAUCGACGGCGGUGUUUGGCACCUCGAUGUCGGCUCAUCACAUCCUGGGGCUGAAGUCGGUCCCAAGGGUAUGGCUGUUCGCCAUUUAAAGUGGUACGCGAGCUGGGUUUAGAACGUCGUGAGACAGUUCGGUCCCUAUCUGCCGUGGGCGUUGGAAGAUUGAAGGGGGCUGCUCCUAGUACGAGAGGACCGGAGUGGACGAACCUCUGGUGUUCGGGUUGUGUCGCCAGACGCAUUGCCCGGUAGCUAAGUUCGGAAUCGAUAACCGCUGAAAGCAUCUAAGCGGGAAGCGAGCCCUGAGAUGAGUCUUCCCUGAUACUUUAAGUAUCCUAAAGGGUUGUCGGAGACUACGACGUUGAUAGGUCAGGUGUGUAAGUGCUGUGAGGCAUUGAGCUAACUGAUACUAAUUGCCCGUGAGGCUUAACCAUACAACACCCAAGGGGUUU